CCUACGGGAGGCAGCAGUGGGGAAUAUUGGACAAUGGGCGAAAGCCUGAUCCAGCAAUGCCGCGUGAGUGAUGAAGGCCUUCGGGUCGUAAAGCUCUUUUACCAGGGAUGAUAAUGACAGUACCUGGAGAAUAAGCUCCGGCUAACUCCGUGCCAGCAGCCGCGGUAAUACGGAGGGAGCUAGCGUUGUUCGGAAUUACUGGGCGUAAAGAGUACGUAGGCGGUUAUUCAAGUCAGAGGUGAAAGCCCGGGGCUCAACCCCGGAACUGCCUUUGAAACUAGAUAACUAGAGUCUUGGAGAGGUUAGUGGAAUUCCGAGUGUAGAGGUGAAAUUCGUAGAUAUUCGGAAGAACACCAGUGGCGAAGGCGACUAACUGGACAAGUACUGACGCUGAGGUACGAAAGCGUGGGGAGCAAACAGGAUUAGAUACCCUGGUAGUCCACGCCGUAAACGAUGAUAACUAGUUGUUCGGUCACUUGGUGACUGAGUGACGCAGCUAACGCAUUAAGUUAUCCGCCUGGGGAGUACGGUCGCAAGNUUAAAACNCAAAUGAUGAGNGUGAGAGUUGCGAGACGACACGAGGAGAGG
rnacentral:rRNA from 1 species